UUUAUAUCAUGGUAAUGUUAGAAUAGUAAGUCUUCCAUGACCAUGCUUUGAGUAAUCGAAAGUAAUGAACCACGUUAAGAGCAAGCAAGAAGUAGGCGGGUGUUGCCCCGUUUUGGUAACGGAAGGGGACUGGGGAACGAGCCGGCGUUAUCCUGCUAUGGAAUUGUAGAUGGCUUUUGAUUUCCGAGAAAAAGUGCAAUAUCCUGGCGUAAGUGGCACAACGCUUUUAUAAUUUUAGCAAUUACACAGACAUGGUGGUAGAGAUUUACAUAAAGUAAGCAGAACGAUAGACAGAUGUGACCCGCAUCAUAAUGAACAAAAUUUCUAUAAAAGGCUAUGAAUGUACCAGACAAAAUCAGUCCUCAGAAAGUCAGAAAAGUAACAGUUGUAAAAAAGAGAUCAACCCUUUCUUCCCUGACCUUUGGAUAGAGCAGGCUGGCCUAUCCAAUUUUAGAAAAUGCUGGGUAGAUUGUUCGUUGUUAUGGCGAUUUUCACCUUUGCACAUCUUUCUGCACUAUUUGCCAAUGAAUACGAAUUGUUUCAGGUUGCUGCAUGUUUAUGAGUUACUUUGAUUUGGGCUGUGCAUGGAAAACUGAUCAGGAUUAUGAAAAUUCGAACGUUAUUACCAGCCGAGAAGAUUUGUCGCCAUCAGAUGUUAAUGACAAAAGGCUCCAGUAUUUCCUGUGGAUGAAGCGAGCAGCCGAUGGGGCCAGAAGUGGAGGGAUGGGACGCUCGAAACA